rnacentral:rRNA from 1 species
UACGGAGGGGGCUAGCGUUGUUCGGAAUUACUGGGCGUAAAGCGCACGUAGGCGGCUUUGUAAGUUAGAGGUGAAAGCCCGGGGCUCAACUCCGGAAUUGGCCUUUAAGACUGCAUCGCUAGAAUUGUGGAGAGGUAAGUGGAAUUCCGAGUGUAGAGGUGAAUUCGUAGAUAUUCGGAAGAACACCAGUGGCGAAGGCGACUUACUGGACACAUAUUGACGCUGAGGUGCGAAAGCGUGGGGAGCAAACAGGG